rnacentral:rRNA from 1 species
CACGUAGGGCGCGAGCGUUGUCCGGAAUUAUUGGGCGUAAAGAGCUCGUAGGCGGCCUGUUGCGUCCGCUGUGAAAGCCCGGGGCUUAACCCCGGGUCGGCAGUGGAUACGGGCAGGCUAGAGGUAGGUAGGGGAGAAUGGAAUUCCCGGUGUAGCGGUGAAAUGCGCAGAUAUCGGGAGGAACACCCGUGGCGAAGGCGGCUCUCUGGGACGGUACUGACGCUGAGACGCGAAAGCGUGGGGAGCGAACAGG